rnacentral:lncRNA from 1 species
GAGAGAUUGCAAGUAGGCAGAGCAGCAGGCAGAGGCAGAGGGAGAAGCAGACUCCUUGCUGAGCAAGGGACCCAACAUAGGACUCGAUCCCAAGACCCGAGGAUCCUGACCUGAGCUGAAGGCAAAGGCUUAACCCACCGAGCCAUCCAGGCAUCCCUGGGGGCCCCGAUAUUAAUAAGCAAGCAUCCAGUCAUUAUAUUUCUCUUCAUUCACUUCCACUUUUUUGACCCUGUCUGUGCCCCGCAGUUUCCUCGGCGCGGAUAUUGUAACUCAGUAGGACAAAGUUCACGCCUGAAUUGAAAUGCGCUUUGUUCACCUGAACUAAACAAAUAAUUACAUAACGUAAAGUCACAGAAUGGUCACGGCUACAGUGGAAAGAAAGUAAAGCAAGGCAAAGGCAGCUGAUGCAGACAGCAGCGUGGGAGGGAGCGUUCUCGGAGGAAGGGACACCUGUUCAGGGACCCGCACGGACUGAAGAAGAGCCAGAGCCGUGUAGUUAUCCGUGAAUGAGCUGGUGGUCUUGUGCAGAAAGGGUGGUCCGUGAGCUGUAGGGGUAAGCUGCUCUCCCAGUAGCAUAACACCAUGAGAGAGUCUGCUGCUUUUAUCAGGAGCACCAAUGGCCAAGCCCGAGGCCGCGUGCGCUGGAUGGUCUAAUGAGGAGCAGACAAGGUCCCUGUCCCCCAGGAGCUGCGGAGGGUCUGGGAGAGAAGGCGCGCACCCUCAGCUGCCUUGCAGGGCAGUCUGGGAUGCCCCUGGCCGUCGUUGGAAGCUCCUACCAAGCAGGGCCUUUGGUAACUCCCUUUGUGUCAGCCACAACCUUGAGCCUGAGCUGUCAGGUGGGCAGACCCUUCCCACCAGGGUAAAAGGAAAUUCCUGGGGUGCUCUGGGAUAACACUGGCAUCUCAGGGUAACUAGAC